rnacentral:misc_RNA from 1 species
AGCACAGCAGCCGGAAACCCUAGGCCAAGACGACGAUGACUUGUCGGAGUCGGAGUCGGAGUCGGAAGAAGGGAUACAAGAACUGGAAGAAGAAAUACGGGAACUGGAACAACAAGUUCAACAAAUGGCUGAGAAAAUUGUGGAUUUCAGAAGUACACUUCCGGGUCAGCUUAAAACUACUCUCGAUUCCAUUCUUACUGCUCAAAGACCCCUUUUUGAUACCCCCGAAUCUCAACCUGGCUGCUCCAAUCAACCACCUACAUCUGACGUUGAAGAGCUUGGUGCCGCGUUAGCUGGAGAGGUGCAGAAAGAAGCUGAAAAAGCACAGCUCCUUAAGCAGAAGAUAGCAAGUAAUGCAUCUGCCAUGCCUAUUGUAUUGAACAGAAUGAAGGAAGGUAUGGCGAAGAUUGACAAACUACAGUCUAGCAAUAAAGUUAUUCAUCCUGCCUUUAGAAGGGGAAGAUCUAGCCGAUAAGCCCCUGCUAGAUCUGCUCGCUAUGGUAUAGAACACGUAGUUUCUUAUUAU